GUAAGUACGGAUAGUACGGGUAUUGGAACACGGCAUAGGUCUGGGUCUGCGGUAUGUUAGUGUGUUUUCUCCGUCUAAAUUUUCAGCAUCCAAUCAACGAACAGAGGGAGUGGCUGAGAUCAAUGAAGUUAAAGUCAGCUCUCAUCUUCACGCACGGACGUCGACGUCAGAGGUCACGGAAGGAACGCAGGUCGUGAUCAAUGAGAUCGCGUAUGGGUGUCAAGACGGAAUUCAUGGCUGGUUCCCAAAUAGACGGUGUAGUAAAAGGUCGCGGUCUGGGAGUGACGGUGUCGGGAUGAAGGUGAGGCCCCGUUGGAGGAUCUCCUGUUCUGAUGGGGCGUUGAAGAGCAGAAAGGUUUGUAACAUUGGAUUGGGAGGUCGGAGGGGACUGCGCUGGGCCUGGUGGUCCAACUAUAAAUCCAGCUGGGUCAGCCAGUCCAGUAGCAUCGACCUCGCUGUCUCCGGAGUCCAGUGAAUAUUAUCAUGGACCGUCAGGAAUUUAG
ensembl:lncRNA